rnacentral:rRNA from 1 species
GGUCAAGUUAUUAAGGGUGCAGGGCGGAUGCCUUGGCACUAGGAGCCGAUGAAGGACGUGAUAAGCUGCGAUAAGCUUCGGGGAGUUGCACGUAAACUUUGAUCCGAAGAUUUCCGAAUGAGGAAACUCACUUAGAGUAAUGUCUAAGUAUCAUUAAGUGAAUACAUAGCUUAAUGAGGGGAACUCAGGGAACUGAAACAUCUAAGUACCUGAAGGAAGAGAAAGAAAUUCGAUUCCGUAAGUAGCGGCGAGCGAACGCGGAUUAGCCCAAACCAAUAAAGUUUUCUUUAUUGGGGUUGCGGACAUAUCAUA